AUGCUGGGCGCGCGGGCCUGGUUGGGCCGCGUCCUUCUGCUGCCCCGCGCCGGUGCAGGCCUCGCCGCGAGCCGCAGGGGUAGCUCCUCCCGGGACAAGGACCGAAGUGCGACGGUCAGUAGUUCAGUGCCCAUGCCUGCUGGAGGGAAGGGAAGCCAUCCUUCAUCUACACCCCAGAGGGUCCCCAACCGCCUGAUCCACGAGAAGUCACCAUACCUCCUACAACAUGCCUACAAUCCUGUGGACUGGUGAGCACCUCUCCUGGGGCCCUGCCUGGAAUCGCUGGGGUCCUGGGCCCCUCCCAGACCCCCUGGGCUACUGAGUGAUGCCCCACCCUGCUGGGUCUAGGUACCCCUGGGGACAGGAAGCCUUCGACAAGGCCAGGAAGGAAAACAAGCCGAUUUUCCUCUCAGGUAAUGCUCCCACCUUCCCUGAUGUGGGGGUGUGGGCAGGGAGCGGCAGUGGAUGGGGGAGGGCCCUCUCGGCCUGGCGGGUCUU
rnacentral:sRNA from 1 species